rnacentral:lncRNA from 1 species
UGCGAUUAGUUUUUGCACAAUGAAUAUGUACAUGAGUCCCACUAUAGAAUACACCAAUAAAGUAUAAACCUAUGGAAUUCCUAUUGUUCCUGCUCGUUCUAUUUUCUACCAUAUGCACAUGCAUUUUUUUUUCCUAACCCCAAAUUCAAAGCACCGGAAAUCUGCCAAGCUUCCUCCGCCUUAUCCUUUUCCGAUAAUCGGGAACAUUCUACAACUCGGCGAACACCCCCACCAGUCACUGGCCAAACUUUCACAAACCUAUGGACCUCUUAUGUAUCUUAGAAUGGUUAUCGUGAAACAAUAGUCGUUUCAUCACCAGAAAUGGCUAAAACUGUACUACAAAAAUAUGAUCAAUCCUUCAGUGGCAGAACUGUCCCCUUGACCCUUGAAUACCUGGAGCAUGAAAAGUUUUCUUUGCCGUUUUUGCCAGUUGAUAGUCAAUGGCGUAAACUUCUCAAAAUAUUGAAAGGACAGAUGUUUUCACUGCAAAAGGCUAGACGCAAGUCAGGGCAUUCGACGAGAAAAAUUACAAAAACUAUGCGACUAUGUGAAUCAAUGUUGUGUUAAUGGUCAUGUAGUGGAUAUAGUUGAUGCUACAUUUAUGACCUCACUUUACAUGAUUUCGUCCACUCUUUUCUCAGUUGAUUUUGCUGACUUCAAUUCUAAUUCCUCUCAAGAGUUGAAGGAUGUUGUGUGGAAUGUAACUAAAUGUAUUGGUAGUCCUAAUCUUGUAGAUUAUUUUCCAGUUCUUAAAUAUGUUGAUCCACAAGGCAUCUCACGCCGAACCAAGUUUUAUUUUGGAAAAUUAUAUUCGAUUCUGGAAAGUAUUUUAGAUCAACGGUUGAAAUCGAAAGGCACAUUAGAGAAAAAUGAUUUACUGGAAGUCCUUCGUGAUCUCUACAAAAAACCUGAGCCAGAAUUAAGCUAAAAACAUAUAAAGCAUCUACUAACGGUAUAGACUAUACUUAAUUUUAUUGCUCUAUAAAUUUUCUCUCUUACUUGGCUUUCUAUUUUGUAGGACUUAUUUAUUGGCAGCACAGAUACAGUUCCAACUACUGUUGAAUGGGCAAUGGCUGAAUUACUUCGCAACCCCAAGAUGUUGAAAGCUAAAAACGAGCGAUGUGAUCGGAGAGCAUGGUGUGAUUCAAGAAUCAGAUGUCGAAAGGCAUUAACGCUGUAAUAUUGUCCUUUUGGGUUGAGUUAAGUCUGCUAAUGUAGCGACCGAACAAAAAAUGUUGUGUUUCGUUUUAAAAUAAAAUUUACUCGUAGAACUCGAAUAUAAUUUGGAUUAUAUUAUUACGUUGCUAAGACCCUUCCCUAAGAGUUAAAAUUAAAGCUUUGGUCACG